GGUAACCUACCUAUAAGACUGGAAUAACUCCGGGAAACCGGGGCUAAUGCCGGAUAACAUAUCGAACCGCAUGGUUCGAUAGUGAAAGACGGUCUUGCUGUCACUUAUAGAUGGACCCGCGCCGUAUUAGCUAGUUGGUGAGGUAACGGCUCACCAAGGCAACGAUACGUAGCCGACCUGAGAGGGUGAUCGGCCACACUGGAACUGAGACACGGUCCAGACUCCUACGGGAGGCA
rnacentral:rRNA from 1 species